UACGUAGGGACCAAGCGUUGUUCGGAUUUACUGGGCGUAAAGGGCGCGUAGGCGGCGCGGUAAGUCACUUGUGAAAUCUCUGAGCUUAACUCAGAACGGCCAAGUGAUACUGCAGUGCUAGAGUGUGGAAGGGGCAAUCGGAAUUCUUGGUGUAGCGGUGAAAUGCGUAGAUAUCAAGAGGAACACCUGAGGUGAAGACGGGUUGCUGGGCCAACACUGACGCUGAUGCGCGAA
rnacentral:rRNA from 1 species